rnacentral:lncRNA from 1 species
AGAACUCUCACUGCACCCGAUAAAGGACCAGACCCUUCCCCAGGUGGGCGGGGCUCCUCGGAGCCGCAGUGCAGCAUGAUGAAGCCUGUGCCUGGGACGGGAAGCUGCUCUGGAAGCGAGCGCCAAGUCCCCCAGGUGCCACCGCCAGUCACUUGUCCCGGCAAAGCUCCCAGUGUCCACAUAGAUGCGGAGCCAGGUCAGGAUUUUCCGAAUGUAAGAUGGCCUCGUGCUUCGCGGAGAAGCUGCCCAGGGUGGGUUCUCUGCCGCCCCCUGGCGGGCAGCGCUGGGCCUGGUCGUGGGCACCGCGACUAGCAGCGGCCGGUGCCCACGCUAACUGUGCAUCUAGUGGGUACGCAACCGGCUGGGAUGCCACCGGGGCACAACCUUGUAUUCAGGCUGAUAGCACCCGGAGGCAGGGCUUCUACCCAGCAAACCGGUUAGAGGAGAGUAAUCAGGGAGCCUUGGCAGCUGUGACUGGCGUUCUGCAUGCCCCUCUGCUUCCUGAGGCUACUCACUUCCUUGCUUGCAUGUGGCCACAGUGGCAAGUUCCAACAGUUUCUUCAGUCAACGACCCCUCCCUCUCGACUUUGCAGUUUGAGUCACCUUCAAUUUCCUGCCUGCCUGCCCCUUCCCUGAUUGACCUGAUAAAUCCAGGACAGCUUUUAUUGCUUUUGGCAAAACAUUGCCAUUAAGAUUUACGGAGCCAAAAGCUGGUACAAUGUAAUCUUCAGAGUAAUUUACACAGUGAGUUUCAAAAGAUGAAAAGUUAGCGUUUCCGGGGUAAUUUCAUAAAAAGGAUUAUCAGAUUAAUCACUGUGUCGAUUUAAUCGUGGUUUCUAAAAUAAUUAAUUAGCCUGCUUGAAGUCAGCCAUGCAAAGAGGACCCCAGAAGGAAUACAAAUGGCCGUGUCAGAUGUAAGUAUGUUUGGGGCACUAGAUCUUGAGAGAAUUCCUGCUGAAAUUACCUCGGGAG